GACGAACGCUGGCGGCGUGCUUAACACAUGCAAGUCGAACGGAAAGGCCCUGCUUUUGUGGUGUUCUCGAGUGGCGAACGGGUGAGUAACACGUGAGUAACCUGCCCUUUACUUUGGGGUAACUUCAGGAAACUGGGUCUCAUACCUGCUAGGUGCUCCUGCUGCAUGGUGGGGGUUGGAAUGUUUCGGCGGUUGGGGAUGGUCUCGCGGCUUAUCAGCUUGUUGGUGGGGUAGUGGCUUACCAAGGCUUUGACGGGUAGCCGGCCUGAGAGGGUGACCGGGGACAAUGGGACUGAGAGACGGACCAGACUGCUACAGGAGGCAGCAGGGGGGAGUAUGGCACAGUGAGAGGAAGCGUGAGGCAGAAACGCCGGGGUCGGGAUGACGGCCUGCGGGGUGUGAACAGCAGUAGGCUGAGACGAAGCGGGAGUGACGGUAAUGGGUAAAGAAGCACCGGCUAACUACGUG
rnacentral:rRNA from 1 species